rnacentral:rRNA from 1 species
CAGUCGCCGCGGUAAUACAGAGGGUGCGAGCGUUAAUCGGAUUUACUGGGCGUAAAGCGUGCGUAGGCGGCUUUUUAAGUCGGAUGUGAAAUCCCUGAGCUUAACUUAGGAAUUGCAUUCGAUACUGGGAAGCUAGAGUAUGGGAGAGGGUGGUGGAAUUUCCUGUGUAGCGGUGAAAUGCGUAGAUAUAGGAAGGAACAUCAGUGGCGAAGGCGACCACCUGGACUGAUACUGACACUGAGGUGCGAAAGCGUGGGGAGCAAACAGGAUUAGAUACCCCUGUAGUCCCUGUCUCUUAUAU